UACGGGGGGGGCAAGCGUUGUUCGGAAUUACUGGGCGUAAAGGGCUCGUAGGCGGCCAACUAAGUCAGACGUGAAAUCCCCAGGCUCAAUCUGGGAACUGCGUCUGAUACUGGAUGGCUUGAAUCCGGGAGAGGGAUGCAGAAUUCCAGGUGUAGCGGUGAAAUGCGUAGAUAUCUGGAGGAAUACCGGUGGCGAAGGCGGCAUCCUGGACCGGCAUUGACGCUGAGGAGCGAAAGCUAGGGGAGCAAACGGG
rnacentral:rRNA from 1 species